CUCAGUGGAACGGCGAUUGUUCAUUUACGAAGUGUCCUACAUGUGGUAUGGAAUCAGCGGUGUAACCAUUUCCAUGAUCGUUGGGAUUAUUUUAAGUUUAGCCACAGGAAAGUAUGACGUAGUACGACUGGAUCGACGGUUACUAUUUCCGUUUGCUAGGAAGAUUUGGAAAAUGUAUCUACAAGAGAAAAAACCUGAUAGACAGAACUCAGUGACAUUAGAACAGGCAUCAUUAAUGAAUGUCCGUGAGUGAUGGAAAAAGGAGAAAGAGGACAGAUUUCCAAGCCGUGCUUCCUUUAUUGUCCCAGGAGAUGAAACUGAUUUUAAGAGAGACUUCCACUCUGUAUGAUCAGUCAAAUCUGAUACCAGAGUGGCAUUUAAAAAAUUUGUCUUGGUUCAAACGUUUUUGACAAAUAACAACAACAACAAAACACACACAACACACACACACACACACACACACACACACACACAUAGACAGAAAGAGGACACAUUUUAAGACCAGUUUUUCCUUUGUUAGACCAGCAGAAGAAUGUCCUACCUAAGAUAUGUUUAAAUAGACAUAUUAUACCUUCCUGAAAAAUCAGCUGUACAUACUUUUAUAAUUACUGUUUGUAAUUAAUAUGUGCUGUCUGUAUAUUGUUUUAUUUUUUCUUG